rnacentral:lncRNA from 1 species
UUGAGGUGGUCAUAUACAGGCUUUACUUAAGCAUACAUCACUAGACCGAUCACUCAUCCAAUUCCUUUUGAAUAUUAUUUUAGUUAGCAAGUUAUUGAAAGAUGCUAAUGUGUUUGGCAUUGUUUUAAUAGGGGUUCUCCAUUUAAAAUAGUUUCACCUGAUGUCAACCAGAGAAGUUUGUGGCAGCCUACCUACCGGUAAGAUUCAUGUUGAAUAGCUUAUUACUUUGUCAUUUAUUUUGAUAUUAGUAAAAAUUAUCAUCCACUUUUGCAUUUUAAUUCCUGGAGAUACUAACAUAUGGUUAACCAUUCCUUUUGUUGGUUGCUGCAGGAUUAAGUACAACUUAUCAUCUUUACUUGUGCCGUUACUUUUAACCAGUCAAGAUCAAGCUAAUACUCAAACGUGAAGACAAAUAAUUCAGCAAAAUUUCAGAGAGAGGUACUGGAUGCUAUGAAGCGAAAUAUGAAGUUUUAGGGGGUAGUCCAGAGAAGCCUUUCCCGACCAAGUAUUUUCUAAAUAUCAUUAUUAUUCUAAUUGGUUUUUGAGUGAUAUGAUACGAAGUACACAUUGUGUUUUCAAUCCCACAUUCUUGAUUUGGUAAAAUUUUACAAUCACUCAAGACUAUUGCAAUGCUACUUGAAUUAUAUGCGUUGAAAUUCACUUAAUAAGGACUGGAAUUUUCUACUUUAAACUUGGCUGUUGCUUCUGGUCGUACAUACUUGUCUAGUUCGGACAACUAAACUCAAUCAUAAGAUUAAAUUGAAGAUGUUAACAAGUCUAUA